UACGAAGGGAGCUAGCGUUGUUCGGAAUCACUGGGCGUAAAGCGCACGUAGGCGGAUGUGUCAGUCAGGGGGUGAAAUCCCGGAGCUCAACUUCGGAACUGCCUUUGAUACAGCACGUCUUGAGUCCGAUAGAGGUGGGUGGAAUUCCUAGUGUAGAGGUGAAAUUCGUAGAUAUUAGGAAGAACACCGGUGGCGAAGGCGGCGCACUGGAUCUCUUCUGACGCUGAGGCGCGAAAGCUAGGGGAGCAAACGGGGAUUAAGAA
rnacentral:rRNA from 1 species